rnacentral:tRNA from 1 species
CGGGGCGUAGCGCAGUUCGGCAGCGCGCAUGGUUUGGGUCCAUGAGGUCGGAGGUUCAAAUCCUCUCGCCCCGA